GCAGACACAUUCCAGCCAUUCAGCAGCAGACCCUCCCUCCCAGACCCUCCCACCUCCUGGACAGCUCACUAAGAAGCAGCUUCAAAAUGGAUGCUGUCCAGGAGGUGGGAGGGUCUGGGAGGGAGGGUCUGCUGCUGAUUGGCUGGAAUGUGUCUG
rnacentral:miRNA from 1 species